ensembl:lncRNA
GUCCUCACCCCCUCACACUCCAGGCCCUCCAAGUCGGGCUGCGUUGAACCCUUUAUGUUGGCCACCGCACCAUGUCUAAUGGCCCCUGCUGAGACGAGCGUCCUGCUCCCUCCUGCUCCCUCCUGCUCCCUCCUGCUCCCUCCUGCUCCCUCCUGCUCCCAGGACCACUUGUCAUCAAGAGGAUUGCGGCUAAAUAAAAACCAUAGAAACUGGGACUUGAAAUAUUGGGGUGCAGCCUCCCCCAAAAGCCCCCAAAACCUUGAACCCGCAUCUGUUGCUUGCUGUUGUCAUGUACAUGAAAGUUGAUCACACAAGGGAUAAGAUGUGUUGCCCUCAGCUCCUCUGUGCUGAUAAAACCUGUGUUUCCACACAAGCGUGGCAGAAUAUUUUCUUUCUUCAAUCUCUUUAUUUUAUUUGUUUUGCCUUUGAAUAUCUUUUUUUUGUGUCCACACUGGAAAUAACGCUGAGGUUUUUCAGGCCUUGGUUUGACAUGCCUAAUGGUGGCUUUCUCACUUGCCGGUAACAUCCUGAAGAAGGAGGUGGGUGAAGAGAGAGAAUGCUGAGAAUUAGACCCUUACUGCUGGCAGACAGGAUCCCUCCUCCCCCAUCCUCAUCCCUAAACAUACGUACACAGUGAGCUUGGAAGAUACGUCAGACGGCUUUCACCCUCCGCUAUUUGUCUCUUUGUCUGCCUGUCUGAAAAAUUCUUUUAAUUUUUAAGCGAGAAAUCGCCCCACCGCUGAAGCGGUUUCAGUAGCCCAGC